rnacentral:tRNA from 1 species
GUUAAUAUAGUUUCAAGACAAACAUUAGAUUGUGGCUCUAAAAAUAGGAGUUAAAUUCUCCUUAUAAACC